rnacentral:rRNA from 1 species
CCUACGGGAGGCAGCAGUGGGGGAUAUUGCACAAUGGGGGAAACCCUGAUGCAGCGACGCCGCGUGGGUGAAGAAGCGCCUCGGCGCGUAAAGCCCUGUCAGCAGGGAAGAAAAUGACGGUACCUGAAGAAGAAGCCCCGGCUAACUACGUGCCAGCAGCCGCGGUAAUACGUAGGGGGCAAGCGUUAUCCUGCUUUACUGGGUGUAAAGGGGGCGCAGACGGCGAUGCAAGCCAGGAGUGAAAGCCCGGGGCCCAACCCCGGGACUGCGCUUGGAACUGCGUGGCUAGAGUGCAGGAGGGGCAGGCGGAAUGCCUGGUGUAGCGGUGAAAUGCGUAGAUAGCAGGAGGAACACCGGUGGCGAAGGCGGCCUGCUGGACUGCAACUGACGUUGAGGCCCGAAAGCGUGGGGAGCAAACAGGAUUAGAUACCCUAGUAGUC